UCUUUGAAUUAAAUGCCACGCGUUAGUAUCGUUGAAUCGAUUUUUUUUUUCUUUUAAAUAAAAUUUCUUUUCUUAUUUUGUUUUUUUUUAUGAGUUAACAGAAAAAAAAAUAUUAAAAUUAAAGCAGUAAAAAAAAAAACGUUUUCUUUAAUGAAUUUAUUAAAUUUUGGAAAAAAAAAAUAUUUAAAAAUUAUUCAAUUUAAUUGAAAAACACAAAAAUAAAAUAUUAAAAAAAAAGAAACGGUUUCGUUCCAAAAGCCAAAAGGAUUACAUUUAAAAAAAAAAAUAAAAAAAAAAAUUCAAAUUUUUAUGUGCUGUUUUCUCUGUCUAUUUCAUGUGUUUCAUUGUUCAGUAAAAAAAAAUUUUAAAUUUUAGAAAAUUUUCAACAACAAAGUUUAUAAAGAAAAAAUUUUAUUAAAAAAAUUAUUUAAAAAAUUUAAAAUUUUACAAAAAUUGAAGUGUUUGAUUUUAAAAAAACGAGAGAUUGUUUUCUUUUUUUCGUAAUUUUUAUUUAAUAUUGAAAUUGAAAUUCAUAAAAAAAAUAUUAUUGUUUAAUUAAAAUUGUGUUUGUGUGUGUGUACGAAAUUUGAAUCAAAAUUAUUACAUUCAAGGAAUCAAAAACAAAAUUUGGAUACAAUUACACUUUAAAAAUAUCAAAGUAAAAAACGAAUUUUUUUAAAAUACGAAAAGGAAUAUUAAAUAUUAAACAAUACAUAUAUAACAGUAAAGAAUAAAGAAUAACACAAUAAUCAGAAUGCAACAAAAACAACAAUAAUAAUAAAAUAUCAUAAAAUAAAAGCAACAGAAACAAAAGCAACAACAAUAAUAAAGAAAUAAAAAAUAAUAAUAAUAAAAUAAAAGUGAAUAUUGCAACGUUGCAUUGUGUGAAUCAGCAACAAAAUAUAGUAUUGUUUUCUUCUUUUAUUUUCAAAUAGCCCAAGAAAAUAAAAAUUUGAGAAUAUUUAAAUACUUAUUUAAAACAAAUAUAUAUAUAUAUAUGUACAAGUAGUGUGUAUAUAUAAAAUAUAAAAUUAACAAAAAAAUAUUCAAAAAUAGAAAAUAUAAAUUUAAAAAAAAAGGAAGAAAUUUCAGUGAUUUUUUGUUUUUAUUCUUUUAAAAUAACACCAAAAUAAUAAUAAAAAGGUAUUUAAGUGGACAUUAAGAAUAUUAAAAAGAAUAAAUAAAUAAAAAUUUUAAAAAAUUUUAAAUACAAUUUGUAUGUGUGUUGUUUGUGAAUACCUACAAAUUAAAGUGGAUUAAUCACAUGCUCGGAUUUAUUCAGUUUUAGAGGUGAGUCCAAAAAUUUACAUUCUUGUACAUAUACAAUUUAACAAAAUUUCAAGUAAGACUUUUGAAACUACAAUGUAACCGUAUAGUUGAUAAUUAACAUUUUACUUUCAAUAUUUUAUUUUAAACAUUUGUAUACAAAAUCUCAACUUUGAUUAUCUCACUCUCUGUUGUUUUCUUUACUUUGUAUAGGUGAAAAAGUCAAUAUGUUAAAUAAAAUUGCGAUAUACAUAAAUUAUAUUAAUAGUAUGUGUUAUAAAAACAAAACAUAUGUUAAUAAGUGCAACAUGUUUUUCAAAAUAAAAAAAAAAGCAGAUAGUGAGAGAGAGAGUAAAAAAAUACACCAUAUGAAGAAGCAGAUUUCAGACAUUUAAUUUCAUUAAUUGACACUUUUAUCUUGUUUCAAAGUUGUUUUAACAUAAAAUGUCAAUUGUAAUUAACACGAAACAUUACAAUUUGUGUUCAUUUCUAUAAAUCACUAGAGAGAAUUAUAAAAAAAAAUUAAUUUUUAAAAUGUUAUACUAUACGCAUAUACACCUUGCAUAUUUAAUUCAGACCAGUAAUGUUAAAAUGUUUGAGUAUAAAAGCAUAAGUGUACUCAUUUAAAAUCCAUAUUGCAUACAGAAAAAGAAUCUUGCAAUUGAUAAAUUUUUGAUAUCAAUUAAAAAUUUGGAAAAUUUACACGUUGAAUGCCUUGAUUUUUAGUAUUCUACCAUCUACACACACUAAUGAUUGAUUAAGGUAAUUCGGUAAAGUAAAUCAAUAAAAUAAGCGAUAAACCAAUGAUUGGUGUUAAUUGUAAUCUAGGCAACUGUUCAUAUAGAACUACGUCUAAAUUAAAAUAUUAUUAAAUAAUAUUA